GAUCAUGGCUCAGGAUGAACGCUGGCGGCGUGCUUAACACAUGCAAGUCGAGCGAAGCAAUCUAAGUGAAGUUUUCGGAUGGAUCUUGGAUUGACUGAGCGGCGGACGGGUGAGUAACGCGUGGAUAACCUGCCUCACACAGGGGGAUAACAGUUAGAAAUGACUGCUAAUACCGCAUAAGCGCACAGUACCGCAUGGUACAGUGUGAAAAACUCCGGUGGU
rnacentral:rRNA from 1 species